rnacentral:rRNA from 1 species
CCUACGGGUGGCUGCAGUGAGGAAUAUUGGUCAAUGGGCGCGAGCCUGAACCAGCCAAGUAGCGUGAAGGAAGAAGGCUUUCGGGUUGUAAACUUCUUUUAAGAGGGAAGAGCAGAAGACGGUACCUCUUGAAUAAGCCACGGCUAACUACGUGCCAGCAGCCGCGGUAAUACGUAGGGGGCGAGCGUUAUCCGGAUUCACUGGGUGUAAAGGGAGCGUAGACGGCGUGCCAAGUCUGAUGUGAAAGGCCGGGGCUCAACCCCGGGACUGCAUUGGAAACUGGCAUGCUGGAGUGCCGGAGGGGCAAGCGGAAUUCCUAGUGUAGCGGUGAAAUGCGUAGAUAUUAGGAGGAACACCGGUGGCGAAGGCGGCUUGCUGGACGGUAACUGACGUUGAGGCUCGAAAGCGUGGGGAGCAAACAGGAUUAGAUACCCCAGUAGUC